rnacentral:rRNA from 1 species
GUAGGGAAUAUUGGGCAAUGGUCGGAAGACUGACCCAGCCAUGCCGCGUGCAGGAAGACGGCCCUCUGGGUUGUAAACUGCUUUUAUCUGGGAAGAAAAAGGCCAUGCGUGGCAAAUUGCCGGUACCAGAUGAAUAAGCACCGGCUAACUCCGUGCCAGCAGCCGCGGUAAUACGGAGGGUGCGAGCGUUGUCCGGAUUUAUUGCGUUUAAAGGGUGCGUAGGCGGCUGAUUAAGUCAGCGGUGAAAGACUUCGGCUUAACCGGAGCAGUGCCGUUGAUACUGGUUGGCGUGAGUGUCGGAGGGGUACAUGGAAUUGAUGGUGUAGCGGUGAAAUGCAUAGAUACCAUCAGGAACACCGAUAGCGAAGGCAUUGUACUGGCCGACAACUGACGCUGAUGCACGAAAGUGUGGGGAUCGAACAGGAUUAGAAACCCGGGUAGUCC